GGUUGACUGCUCAUCUCCAUCAGCCUUAUGAGAACUGUUAUUUCGUGGCUGAUUGAAAGGCCUUUAAAAUUUGAAGCACUGGUGAAGAAUUCCUUUGGAUUCUUUUCAUAAGAGGGAAAGAUAUAUCAUCAUUCACAAGCUUCUUGCUUGCCACGUUAUCUUUUUUUAAUGUAAUUGUACUCAUUUUGCAGUUAGGAAUUUCAUGAAUUCCUAU
rnacentral:misc_RNA from 1 species